CUGGCUCAGGACGAACGCUGGCGGCGUGCUUAACACAUGCAAGUCGAGCGAGUGGAUUCCCUUCGGGGAUGAAGCUAGCGGCGGACGGGUGAGUAACACGUGGGCAACCUGCCUUAUAGAGGGGGAUAGCCUUCCGAAAGGAAGAUUAAUACCGCAUAACAUCAGAUUAUCGCAUGGUAGACUGAUCAAAGGAGC
rnacentral:rRNA from 1 species